GCCCUGGUUGGUUAAUGGCAAAUCACCCACCGCCCUUGUGCACAAGAGCUGAGCCGAUUGAUGUGGGAGACGGAGGUUCGAAUCCUUUUCAGGGCA